CAUCCAUGGAAACUUAGAACCUUAAUAACUUAUUUAUUUCAUUAUUCACCAGGAGAAAUCAUAGAGUUUCAAAACGGUAAAAAAGCGUUUCUUCUCGAAGGCUUUACGUUCUACAGGAAUUGUUCUAUUCGCAAGGGACGCGCCUCACGAUGGCUUUGCACUGUACACAGAAAGUGCAAAGCUUACGUACACCUUGACAAUGAGUGCAGACUGAUAUUGGGACCACAAAUGAGCCACACUCACCCACCGCCGAAUCUCUAUAAACUUAAAACUGGAGUAUAUAUGAAGGUAUAAACUGGGAAAUGAUAGAACUUGCAAACGGGAAAACAGUAUUUCUUUUCCAAGGCUAUACGUUCUGCAGGCAUAUGACCAUUCGCAAAGGCUCCGCCACUCGAUGGGUUUGCACUGUAAACAACAAAUGCAGUGUUUACGUGCACCUUGACAUUGAGUGCAGAGUCAUAUUGAGACCGCAGAUGUGCCACACUCACCCACCGCCGAGACUCUUCAAGCUUAAAACUGGAGCAUAUAUGAAGAUUUAAUCUGAGAAAUCAUUGAGUUUGCAAACGGUAAAACAGCUUUCCUUCUCGAAGGCUUUACGUUCUACAUGAAUAGUUAUAUUCGCAAGGGAUGUGCCUCACGAUGGGCUUGCACUCUACACAACAAGUGUAAAGUUUACGUACACCUCGACAGUGAGUUUAGAGUCAUAUUGGGACCUAAAAUGAACCACACUCACCCACCGCCGAAACUAUUUAAGCUUAAAACUGGAGUAUAUACGAAGCUGUAAUCUGAGAAAUGAUAGAGCUUCAAAACGGUAAAACAGUUUUUCUUCUCGAAGGCUUUACGUUUACCAGACAAAGUUAUAUUCGCAAGGGAUACGCUUCAAGAUGGGUUUGCACUCUAAACAAUAAGUGCAAAGUUUACUUACACCUCGACCAUGAGUGCAGAGUCAUAUUGGGACCACAAAUGAGCCACACUCACCCACCGCCGAAACUGUUUAAGCUUAAAACUGGAACAUAUGCGAAGCUAUAGUAUGACAAAAUCAAACUCUAACCGAAUAUGUGUGCGAAGAACGGUUUAAUGAAUCUAUCAGGAAGUUUCUCAACAAGCGGCAUCA